rnacentral:rRNA from 1 species
GAUGAACGCUGGCGGCGUGCCUAAUACAUGCAAGUCGAGCGAACAGACGAGGAGCUUGCUCCUCUGACGUUAGCGGCGGACGGGUGAGUAACACGUGGAUAACCUACCUAUAAGACUGGGAUAACUUCGGGAAACCGGAGCUAAUACCGGAUAAUAUAUUGAACCGCAUGGUUCAAUAGUGAAAGACGGUUUUGCUGUCACUUAUAGAUGGAUCCGCGCCGCAUUAGCUAGUUGGUAAGGUAACGGCUUACCGAGGCAACGAUGCGUAGCCGACCUGAGAGGGUGAUCGGCCACACUGGAACUGAGACACGGUCCAGACUCCUACGGGAGGCAGCAGUAGGGAAUCUUCCGCAAUGGGCGAAAGCCUGACGGAGCAACGCCGCGUGAGUGAUGAAGGUCUUCGGAUCGUAAAACUCUGUUAUUAGGGAAGAACAAAUGCGUAAGUAACUAUGCACGUCUUGACGGUACCUAAUCAGAAAGCCACGGCUAACUACGUG